ensembl:lncRNA FRG1-DT FRG1 divergent transcript
GGGUGCGCUGUGGAACCGCCUCCUGCUAGAGCAGCGGGCUGGCGACGGUCCUCGCCGGGGCGGGAAGCGGCUCAGGCUGCCCUCGCUGGCCUGCGGCGGCGCGGCUGGAAGCGCGGGCCACUCGUGCGUGGGUCACUCAGGACUGCGCCUCGCGCGACUGUGUGUGCAGGAAACAAGCAGGAAAUACCCUAAAAGAGAAUGAAGCGCCAUGUUGAGGGUCGCGGACGUCGCGAGUGCUGUGGGAAUGUGGGCUGAGGUGGAGAGUUAUGGUAGCCCGUGUUACAGGCUCAGGGGUCUGAAAGAAGCCUAAUCGUGGAGGCGGCAUCUGAGGAGGGUCUUGAAGGCUGGGCAGGCAUUUGCCCGACAGAGAUGGAGGAAGCUAGUCCUGUCUGAUGGAGGAAACAGGGCGGAGGCGUGGAGGGAGCCGUGCAGCGCUGGUGUGAGGAGCAGCGAGCAGGCCAGGCCUGUAAAGCAGAGUGAGGGAACCAGGAUAGAGAAGGCAAGUCGGGGUCCUGUGGUCGCUGAAGAAUUUGAAUGAAAUCAGUAAACAGGUGAGAGGGAUCCAUCGCAAGAGCAUGGGAUGAAAGGAGGAGUAGUCCACGGUGAUUCCUCUGCAGCGGCUGUACAGGAAGCAUGGUGAUGGCAUCUGCAUGGCGCCUGUGGAGGCCCCAGGGAGCUUUUACUCAUGAUGGAAGGCACAGAGGGAGUAGGCACAUCACAUGGUCCGAGGAGGAGCAAGAGAAAAUGGGAGUGGGGGCUGCAACUCUCCUGUUACUCUGGGGGAAAGCUUAACAACUAAGAUUCAGAGCAAAGGAAGACGAUGCCGGCAGCAGGCUUUGGGUGCUUGUGGGGCAGCAGGUUGUACCAGGGGCAGGUGCAGACCCCUGCCUCCCUUGCCUUCACCACAGUCACAACAGGCCAGGCCAGCCCAUCCAUCAUGUCUCUAGGAUAUCUCAGGGGUUCAAGGCCACCACACCAUUUGCAGCACACUCCACUCGCUGAUCUGUGAUAUGGGAGAUGUGCUUAUUGGCGAAUAAAUCACCAUGUCAAGUUAACGGCCUGUGUCCAAGGCGAGUGACUUCGAGGUCAGCAUAGCAGCAUACCAUUGGAUGCAGCGGGUUCUGCUUCUGCGCACAGUGCCUCAUCAGAACAUAAAUUUUCAAAUACCAGAUGUGAUAAAAGACAACAUCGAGCUUUCUGUUUUUUGAAGGAGAGGAGAAGGAGAUCCUGGAUACAUUCUCUGAAAGGUGCCUCCACUUCAUCACUGAUCCCGACACGUGGGAGGAAGGAGAGGAGGACAGUGAAGACCAUCAGCAAGGGAGAGCAGGUUCCCUGCCCUGGAUCCCUGCCCUGGUCCCCUGCCCUGAUUCCCUGCCCCAUGUUGUAGGUCUUUGGGCUACAUUUCUACCCAUUGGCUGAACAUAAAAACUGUCCUAUGAACUAUUUGGCAGCAAGUUCACAGCAAAGAAUAUUAACUCUGUGAGGCACCUUAGACAAUGCCUGGCUUAACCCCCACUUGACAAAUAAAGACACAUGUUCUGACUCACCCACCAUCCCAGGAGCAACUGACCAGGCUGAGGAACUCUGUCCACUGCCUGCAGCCCACUUGGCCUUCCACUGUGACGUCCAGGCUGAGGAACUGUGUCUGCCACCUGCAGCCCACUUGGCCUUCCACUGUGAUGUCCUUUCCAGGACUCUGAGCAGAGAUGGGUUUAUAACAAGCAUAAAUUGUUAUUUUGUAUCGAUCUGCACAUCAAUUUAUAUAUUUUGAAAAUUAAAAGAAAUCCAAUGAUAAGAAUUUUUCUCACAAGUUAAUUAAGGAAACUAGGUCAAUGGAAAUUUCUUAGGUUAUGAAAAUAUUGAUGUGAAUAUGUUAUGUGAGAAUCAUUUCAAAAUGAGUUAAAGGGGCUGGGCACAGUGGUUCACACCUGUAAUCCCAGCACUUUGGGAGGCCAAGGUGGGUGGAUCAUGAGGUCAAGACAUUGAGACCAUCCUGGCC